rnacentral:rRNA from 1 species
GUUCCUACGGGAGGCAGCAGUGAGGAAUAUUGGUCAAUGGGCGAGAGCCUGAACCAGCCAAGUCGCGUGAGGGACGACGGCCCUACGGGUUGUAAACCUCUUUUGCCGGGGGACAAACGGCGGCACGCGUGCCGUCCUGAGGGUACCCGGAGAAAAAGCAUCGGCUAACUCCGUGCCAGCAGCCGCGGUAAUACGGAGGAUGCGAGCGUUAUCCGGAUUUAUUGGGUUUAAAGGGUGCGUAGGUUGUUUUUUAAGUCAGCGGUGAAAGUUUGUGGCUCAACCAUAAAAUUGCCGUUGAAACUGGA